AUGGGAACCUGUAAUAGCCAUUUCAAACGCCUCCUCGAGCCAGGCCAACCCUUGAGGCAGCGGGAGAGCCGUUUCCGCCCGCCGGUGCAGAAUUCCGUUGUAAAUCCUUCUAGUUUGCCAAGGUGGCAGCAAAGCACAGGGAUAGCUCGCCAGGCUGCGGAAUCAAUACGAAAGAUCACAUUUUUAGGACAAAUACUCAUCUACCUGCUUUUACACAUCCAUCUUCGUAUGAACAUGAAGUCGGUGAGGCUGCACUAUGUUGUGAUGUUAAAAUAUGUUGGCACCUCCUAAUUACUGGUUUCCGCAAGACAUUUGGGAGAUAUUAUAUACUCACCCUUGGUCAUGAUCUUCAAACAAGCUCACUCUACCAUGUGGUCAGUUUUUAUAUGAGACUUACAGGUAAUUUAAAGGUGAGAAAAUUUGCUACUCUAAUUGCCUGAAAUAAAGAAAAAAGUCUGAAAAAUGAUUAGGAUCA
rnacentral:lncRNA from 1 species